AAGGGAGGAGCCAGGACUCAGUGGACUGCAGUGGCCAACAGCUUCCCCAGAGUCACAUAAGGUGAUUAUGGAGGUGGUUCCAUGUGUGUGUGGUGAGGAAGAUGUGGAAAAUGUCCUGCAGUUCCUGCCAAGAUACUGCCAAAUAUUCUUCCUCAUCACAAGACACAUGAAGAGGAAGCAUCAAAUACCUUGG